AGAGAGAGAGAGAGAGAGAGAGAGAAAUUUUAUUGUAAUGCACAGAACGACCUGCCCUCUUUUGAAAAAAAGCGAGAAAGCGCAGCCAUGCUUUGCAGAGGCUACAGCAUCGCUGUCAUUGGUAGUAUCAGCUUCUCGCCAGACGGAGUCUUUGCUUGUCCGCCGCUACGGCGAAAGGAACCGGGAAUACAAGCGACUGCCUCCGUGAUGUUAAGAUCUGCAAUGAAGAAUUAAUGCUAGAAUGAAGUAAAAAAUAAAACAAACAAAAAAAACAGCGCAGCACGGAUACAUAUUAGCAGAGCACAGUGUGGUGGGAUCCACCAUAUGGCGUGGACCAUAUCAUGGUGCAUUAUGGGAUAAUGGAGGACUUUUACGCUUUCUGCGAUUAUGGACAAAGCAGUCGACGGAAAAGCAUCAAACGGAGUCAUUUUUCGCCUGCAAAAGCGGCCUGGGACGUAUCAUCAUUUUGCCCGCAAAACUACCUACUGGCUGUUCUGCGUUUAAGUCAUUCCUGUAACCUAACUUCUUGUUCCUCCAAUUGAAUGUUGUUGUUUUUUUAACAUAAUAAGGUAGGCCACAACAACCGGGUGAGGAUUUGAUCUCUUUGGACCAGUGCUUGGAAUUUUUAUUUUGUUUCAACUUUUGGCCAAACUUGACAUCCCGAAACAGUUUUUAGUCACACAACAGAGUCCUUAAAGGCUGCAAAAGUAUUUGAUUAUAUUUGUAACAGAUUUUAGGGAAUGGGUCGAGAUGUCUGGCCGUUUCCCCACAGCAGCGUGAAUGCAGAUGGACACACGUUCAUACACACAUGCAUGCAAAUACACACACACACACACACACACACACACACACACACACACACACACACACACACACACACACACACACACACACACACACACACGAGCGGGUUGUGUCUCUCCGUGUUCACAGCGGACCUUGAUUUAAUGUCUUACAAUUAAGGCACGCGGUGAAUGCCAAGAGAUGAUCCUUCUUUCUUCGCAUGACUGCUGAUCCAAGAAAUACAUCACAUCUUGUAACUAACUAAAUUUUUUAAACAGCCUAUUUGGUGUCGCUUUCACAGUAAAUUUGCUUCUGUCGUUUCAAACUGUAACGCAUUAACUCAUGUACUGUCUCUUCCCCCCCAUUCGUCCAUCAAUAAAGUAAAUACACGCAACCAUU